CCUGCGCAUUGUGCUCGUCUCCAUGGCGGGGCCUCGGAGCCAAGACGAGAAAAACAUGCUGCUAUGAAGACAUAGCUUUCACAUAAAUGAAACUACAACUAUCAUGAUUUAGUGCCCCCAAAGGGAAGAACUUCAGUGGACAAGAGAGGGCAUUUUGGGGGGUAAUAAAAUGCUUGAGGACUGGACUUUAAUCUUGAACAACUGCCUGAAGUUAUUAAAUAAUAGAAGAAAAUGGAAUGGAAUAUGAUAUCAGCAUGGAACAGUCUAAUGAUUCAGUAAUAGUCAAUCAUAAUGAUUCCGAAGACUCGAAAACAGAUUCUCAGCAUCCAACCUGUAUGGACUCCAGGGAUCCUUCCUUUGGACAAAAUGGUUCUGGUAGAGUUUUACCCAUCACUACUCAUGAAGCAGAUAAUUCACUCACAUCACAGAAUAUACCAGGGUCCCUGACUCAAGCACAGACUCUUUCUGCAGAGCAAUUCCACCUCAUGGACCAAAAUGGGCAGCCUAUUCAAUAUGAACUUCAGUCAUUGGGGGAUUCUAAUGCACAAAUGAUGAUUGUUGCCAGCCCAUCAGAAAAUGGACAGGUGCUUCGUGUAAUUCCAUCUACCCAGACAGGAAUGGCACAAGUGAUUAUACCUCAGGGACAGCUUGUGGAUGCGAAUAGUCCUCUAGAUGCCUCUGAGGAAAAACCCAGCGACAGAAACUUACCAACUGUAAGAGUGGAUGCUCUAGCAGACAAUAACAGCAGUUACAUUCUUCAUCCUCAAGCAUCCCUCACAUUGCCCAAAAAGACAGUGACCAGAAUGCUUGAAGAACCCUUUCUGGCUCCUCUCCAAACACUUUCUUCUAACACACCUAUCUGGGCCUGCCGUCUUCGGAGCUGUGAGAAAAUUGGAGAUUCAUACCGUGGCUACUGUAUAAGUGAGACUGAAUUAGAAAGUGUCCUAACAUUUCAUAAGCAGCAAACACAGACUGUUUGGGGGACCCGCCAAUCUCCUAGCCCAGCCAAGCCAGCUACACGUUUGAUGUGGAAAUCGCAGUAUGUUCCAUAUGAUGGAAUCCCAUUUGUCAAUGCAGGGAGUAGAGCGGUGGUAAUGGAGUGUCAGUAUGGUCCAAGGAGAAAAGGUUUCCAGUUAAAAAAAAUCAGUGAGCAGGAAAGCAGUUCUUGUCAGCUCUACAAAGCCACUUGUCCAGCCCGGAUUUACAUUAAAAAGGUACAAAAGUUUCCUGAAUAUAGAGUUCCUACAGAUCCCAAAAUUGACAGGAAAAUAAUCCGAAUGGAGCAAGAGAAAGCCUUUAACAUGCUAAAGAAGAACUUGGUAGAUGCUGGUGGUAUUCUUAGGUGGUAUGUACAGUUGCCUACACAGCAAGCUCAUCAGUAUCACGAAUUAGAGACUCCUUCCCUCCCUUUAUCACCUUCUCCUUUUCCUGUGUCCUCUCUUGAAGAAGAGGAAACUGCCAUUAGAGAUGAGGAUUGUACUUUACCCUCACGUUUACAUCCUCAAGUAGCACAUAAGAUUCAAGAAUUAGUAUCACAGGGAAUAGAACAAGUGUAUGCAGUGAGGAAACAGCUAAGAAAAUUUGUAGAAAGGGAACUGUUCAAACCUGAUGAGGUACCUGAAAGACAUAAUUUAUCCUUUUUUCCAACUGUAAAUGAUAUAAAAAACCACAUCCAUGAAGUACAGAAAUCCUUGAGAAAUGGAGAUAAUGUAUAUAACUCGGAGAUUAUUCCAGCAACGCUUCAAUGGACUACGGAUAGUGGGAAUAUUCUCAGAGAGACUGUGACAGUUACAUUUGCAGAAGGAAAUUCACCAGGAGAGUCAUCUACCACCAAAGUGGAUACAAAUCAGACGAGGGGUUCUUUGUCUCCAGAACCAACCCAUGUGUUUUCCUCACUUUCCUCAUUUCCCCCCAAAAUAUUCACACAAUUACAGGGUUUGCAGUUGCAACCAAGAUUUACUUCUCCUGAUGGAUCACCGACUCUGAUGUCAGUAAAUAACCAUCCCUCGUCCAGUCCUUCAACACUUUUAGAUUCAAUAGAAAGUGCUGUAAUGAAUAAUAAUUCUCUACUGCUUGGUCAAAGUCAUAGCCUUCAAACCGAUACAUGCCUAACCCAGAACAACGGUAUUGCCUCUACCGUGGGUAACCUUCCAGGACCAGAUCAAAACCUGGUUGCAAUGGAUCAGCUGGUGGACGUUGGAGAUGUUGAAGAAACAGAGAAUCUGGAAGGCAGUGUUGAUCAGAUUCUGUUGGGAGAUGUGCAGACCAUUCCAGUACAGAUUAUAGACAGCCACCCAGCUCUUGUUGACGAAAAUCCAGAAGGUACCAUUUCUGUGAACCAAGUUAAGCAAGAACCCAAAGAACCAGCAUUGUCAAUGGACGCCAAAAAAAAUUUGGACUGUAAGAAUUUAUCUGCUACAUAAAUUAUUGAAGCUUUUCAGAAUUGAACAACUCCAGUAAUUUCUGAUGUCAUAGAAAAGAAGGUAGAAACUGGAACUAUCAAUAUUUCAUGUUAUUUUGGAGGUAUUUUAAAGGAGCCACUGUUUGAUGAUCUUGGAGGUCCUAUCAAAAUCUGGUCAACAUGGAAACAGCAUGCUUUUCUGAGGCGCUUUAAACCGCCUGCACUGGGUCUCUCCAAUGGAGAUGGUGAGUGUGCGUCUGUAAGAGGAAGUUGACAGGGAUGAAGAUGGGUGUGAUCUUACAUGUUUAGAAGGUUUCCCUCCGGACUGGCAUCCUUUGGAAAAACUAUCUCAGAUCAUUUAUGAAAAAUCGUAUCAAAACUUUUGUCUAUGAAACUCUAAAUUUAUUUGGGUGGGGUGGGGUCCCCAAGAUGCAGAGCACACAAGAUUUGACUGACUAUUGCUAGAUUCAUAGGUUUAUCUUUAGUCUAGUACUGUACCUACUCUGGGCUGGAUUCCUGCAUCUUAUAUGUUUAUAGUAUUAUCAAAAUGUGUCUUCUUAACUUGCUAAAUGAUAUAAGCAUUUUUUGGAAUUAUAAUAGUUAUUUUGGGGAACUUUUGAUAUGAACAAAAUUUUUCCUUUUGGGAGGCACUUUGAAGCAAAAGGGGAGCAAUAUCCCAAACAUACAAUUGUCUCCAUUUUAAAUAAGAGGAAGCUUCCAAAAUAUAUUCAAGGGAUAAUGAAAUUGCAUCCUUAAAAGACUCCUUGGCAAAGGCAAGAGAAAUUUGUGAAAAAUUUAAAACUGUAUCUUUUAGAUCCCUUUAAAUCACAAUUUAAAGAUAAUGUCCUUUAUUCUUCUAUUUCAUUUUCUCAUCCUAUAGUCCUUCAUUUUCCUCUGUACUAUCUCUCCUGCUGCCUUUUUCUCCUUCCCUCCAAAACACCUCAAAAGGAGAUGGUUUUGUAGCUGUAAAAGAGAAAGAUCACUUUGUUUAGUAUUGGAGACAGCUCUCUCAUUUCCAUGCUUCGAGUAUUAAUAAAUGCUGGCUUUUUAAUCAUACAAAUCAAAUUGUCAAGGGGCCUGAGUUAAUGUUUAAACCAUCUGUAAUAAUAACUAACCCUCUCUCUCCCUCUCCCUUUCCUACUCUCCCUUUCUCUCCCAUGCUUGUGUGCAUGUAUGUCAAAAUAGGUUUUCCUGCAUCUAAACUU